GGGGAUGUGACUCAGUGGUAGAGUGUUUGCCUGGAAAGCAUGAAGCCCUAGGUUCAGUUUCUAGCCCCA
rnacentral:tRNA from 1 species